rfam:Brachypodium distachyon strain Bd21 chromosome 1, whole genome shotgun sequence.
UUUGUACUCCCUUCGUCCAACAAAAGAUGUCUCAAGUUUUUCAAAAAUUGGAUGUAUCUACACAUGACUUAGUGUAUAGAUACAUUCAAAUUUGGUCAAAUUUGAGAUAUUUUUUGUUGGACGGAGGGAGUAGUAU